UACUUGGCGUUGCUGUGAGGUCGCAGAAUACAUCAGUCAAUACAGUUUCGGACAAAACAUUUGCAACUAGUCUCAUACAAUCAUCAAACUGUUCAUAUAAAAUCUGCUAAAAGUCCUUGAAAAAAACAAAGGUUUACAUGUUCGAGUUCAUUUCAACAAAAUUAAACAUUGUCAAUACAAAUCUCAGAAGUUUUUCUCCUGUGCAAAACCACUUGCAACUAAGGUAGCGUUUAAUAUUUUGUAGAAAAUCCCUUAUUGUCAAAAUUGUCAAUAGACUCGAUCGGGCUGUCAAUAAUUCUUUGUGGGAUUGAUUCCCGAGCCUUCCGGAUUUGUUCAAAUAACCGGCUCUCAUUUCGUACUUCUGCGCGAUUGAUUCUUCGGUUUACGAUCUCCCAAAGGUUCUCAAUCGAGUUGAGAUCCGGAGAUUAUGGUGGCCAAUCCAUCACCUUCAUUGUUUAACCACUUUGGCGGUCUACUUAGGGUCAUCUUGCUAGAAUACGCAUUUUAUCGGCACUACUCCAUUCGGCAUAACACAGCGACUCUCAUGAUGGUGUUGUGCAUAAAACGAUCCAUAAUUUCGUUGAUCCGAUGAAUUUGACCAAGACCGUUAGCAGAGAAACAACCCCAGACCAUCACAAUACCUCCGCCGUGUGUCACAGUCAUUUGACAGUACCGUCGAUCUAAGCGCUUUCAGACCGGUCAACGUACGCGACAAAUUCCUUUGCCUCAAAAUAUAUUGAAUUAAUACCCAUCACUGAAUGGAACCGUACGCGAUUUCUGCGGAUUGCAGUCAAUAUGAGAUCAAGCGAAGUCUUUUGUUCUUGUUCUUCAAUGAAAUCAGAGGUUUUUUUACGGGCCGUUGAGACUAGAAUAAUGAGUCUUCAAAGGCACGCCGUCUGAUUAUCCGGUUCGAUACAUAGAGCUGCAGUUCUUCUUGUACCUUAAAGGAUGAUUUUGCAUGAUUUUCUUUGAUACACAUGUAGAUCAAAGGGCCCUCCUGGGUCCUGUAUUUGUGUAAGUCAAAAAUAGACUGAUACGCCGUCAACUACAAAAUGAUUGUUUAUUUAUGUGUCGAUGAAAUGAAGGUCGUUAAUGCUUUAUAUAAUUGAACGAUUUCUGUUGCAAAUGUUUUGUCCAACACUGUCCCGAGUCCCGAGGCAAGUGGAGGAAAAACCUUUUUUUUUACAAAAAAUGUUUUUACUCAUCAGUUCCCUUCAAGAGUGAUACAUGCAGUCCAACGUUUUUCCAUUUUAAUACUUUUUUUGUAAAUCGAUUUCUCCUGACCUUCAAAAUUACCGCAUAUUCGGUAAUCACCUCGUCGUUGGAAUAAUUUUUUUCCCAUCGAGCCAUUUUUUGAGUUGGGCAAACAGCCAACAGUCACUGGGGGCCAGAUCUUGCCGCCAGCUGCGGCCGUUUAUGCGACUUCGAUCGCUCUUGCAAAGCAAUAAUAUUCGCUGUAGAUAGUUUUGCCUCUCUUAAGAUAAUCAAUGUAAAUGUUUCCUUGUCCAUCCAAAAAACGGAAGCGAUGACUUUUCCAGCCCAUUGUUGCGCCUUUGACCGGCCACUCAGCUGGCUUACAUCCUGACUCCAGCGUAUAAUGGUGAAUCCAUACUUCGUCCAUGGUAAAAUACCGAUGGGAAAAACUCCGCCUCGUUACGCUUGAAAAUUCUCAAACACUCCCCGGAGCAUCAACGUGCGGUUGUUUCUGGUCGACCGUGAACGAGCGCGGCACGCAUUUUGAAAAAAGUUUUUGAACAAAUGUUCAUGCAAAAUUUUGAAAGCACUACCUUUUUAUAUCUAUAUGAUGUCAGCGAUCUCCGGCAACUUCACUCUGCAAUUUUUCAAGAUGAUUUUGUGGGUAUUCUUGAUGUCUUCCAUCUCGUUCAGCCUCCCAGAGCGUUCGGCAUCAUCGAUGCUCUUUUAAAUUCCGUAAAUCAACGUUUUACGGUUGCCUUCGACGGGGUAGAGUCUGGGUAACACUUAUCAAGCCAUUUUCUGGGUGUUUUUUUUUUCAUAUUAAAAGGCAAUGAUAAAUCAAGACACGAAACUGCUUUGCCUCCAUGGUUGAUGCGACUACCAAGAGUACUGUCACUCAAAAUGAUGUAACUUGGAAACUAAUGGGCGGAUUACAAUGACUUUUUUCACCUGUCAUCUAGAAGAUGGCGCGUGAAUUCAGAAAGACUUACUAUGUUUCUUUAAAACUUUAAGAUGACAAUAUUUUAUGAUAUUUUGAAUAAAGUGUAAUAGAGAUAAAAUAAACCAAGAUAAAAUGAUUAAUUUGGAUCGCAAUAAAAAAAACAUAACAGUGAUGUCUAGUUAUGAGUCAAAACUCUUCAAACAAAUAUAUGAAAUAAUCAGUUUCUUUUGUGUUUUUUUUUUUACACGUUCGUUAACUCAGGAUUUCUCGUACUUUCUACCAGUAUCAGAGAGGAAUUACAAAUUAACAAAUUAUUGUGUCCCUGACACUCAGUAUAGUUAAAGUACAUAAAUACUAGACGGUUAAUAAUCCACUUAAACACUCUCUUUUGAUGUUAUUUCAACCAUAAAUAAUGAUAAUUCACUGCACCGACCCAGCCCUAGCCGGUUCCCGCACCUGGCACCGAUCGUCGUUUCGAUGAUCUAUUGUAGAAUUAACCAGCUAACGGCCGAACGACUAGGUAAUUAAAACGCUCUCACUCUCUCUCACUCACAUUUUAUAGAGAAUUCUUUAAAUUCCACAAUAGCCACACGUCUUUUCACGCACCGGAACCAGCGCAGAGAGUUACUGAGCGGUACUGUCGCUCUGCUUUAAGACAUGGCAUAAUUCAUCAGAAAUUUCUGUGCGGAAAGGAGAAAAUAAACACUGAAAGGUGUCGCAGCAGCGAAUGUGUGAUUUAUGGAUGUCGUUGCUUGUGAAUCAAAUGUCUGACCGGUAUGUUUGUUGUGAGAAAACAUAGAAUUUAAGAAUGUCACUUACCUUAACCGGAGGCAACGCAUUCGUGAUGGUUAAGCCAAUACUUCGCAGUCCAACGAUGGGUGGAAAGUCAGUCGUGUACAGCCGCUGUAAACCGUGCGUUGUUAGCAGUAUGGGGAUGUUAUGCUUCAACCGCUCCUGUUCGUAUUUGACCAGCUGGGAGAGGUUAUUUAAUCCAAGACCGCUGUAGUUCGCCUCUGCAAGCGUAUCCGUGAGACACUGGACGUCACCGAAGCCCAAAUUAACUCCCUGACCAGCGAGCGGGUGAACCCGAUGAGCGGCAUCCCUAAAAGGUACUGGUAUGACCAAGCCCCAGUGGAAAGGCGGCACGCGACUUUUCCAUCACACUCUCAACAACCGGAGGAGGUUCCAGUCUACUUCCAGUUGAAGCAGAUAUAAGAGAGUUCACAUUUUUCAUAACGUCCUCAACGAUGUUGUUUUUCGGGCUUACGAAAGCUUCGUUGACUGCUGCAACGAAUGAAGGUUCGUCCAACUGGAGCAAUCGCUUCGCCUCCGGUACACUGGUGGACCAAACAAGUGAACUCAUUUCGUCGUUCAAUGGUAACAAGGCAAUAGGACCGGUCGGAAGAAACCGUUGCCAAGCUGUGACGUUGUUCGCUGCUCCUCCAGCUAAUUUGAGGGUCGCCACCACACCCAUCUGAUUGUAGGCGAGGGUGAAGUUAUCGACUCCCAUCGACCGGCGAACCAAGGAGUUGUAACCAUCGGCUCCAAUCUGGAAUUAACAAAAAACAAACAUCAGCAAUUAACUUCAUGGAACGAGUGGUGGAGGCGCUCGGUACACUGUGACUUUCAAAUCUCCAUUGAAGAAUUUCAGCCAAAUUUUCUUUCGAUCGAAAUAAAGCAUUUAAAGCAUCAGUCAUUAAUGCGAUUGGAUGUACAGCGAAAGCGAUACUAAGGCCGAUCAGGUUUCAAUUAUAUAAUAUGUCCAACGUGAUUACUAACACACGCAAACAGAACGCCAAUGAAUACCGGUGAGCUGGGCUCCAGCGGCGGAAUGUUGUAAAAACAGUUCGUUAAUCUUAUUUCCGAAAUUAAAUUAAAGUUGGUUGACCUACACGGUAUUGAAAAUAUUUAAAUUUACGUUUUGACGGACUGUUUGACUGGUUGAAUAUUUCAAAAGACGGAGAUAACUUUUGAAUGAUUUAAAAGACAGGAUAAACUUUCGAAAUAUUCAACCCAAUUUUUUGCUGUCAAAGAAUGAAUUGUGUUUUUCUAUGAAUCAGUGGUAGUUGAAAUAUCUCGAAAACAAAAGCACUUACAAAGUUAGUCACUAAGAGCUAAUUUAAAAUUACUUUUAGAAUUUUAUUACGUCACUGGAAUAAGAUUAUUUAAAAAAACUGGAAUCGCAAUUAAAUGUUGUAAAAACAAAUUUCAGAGGCAACUUUAACUUUUUCUGGUUCAACUCAAAAUUUGUGGUUUAUUUUCUAAUUUUUCAAAUUUGAAAAGGAACAAAAUAAUAAAAUAAGCCGUUUGAU